CUUGGGUCAUGUAGUGACUCUCAAUAGGUGAUGGGGGGUGGGGAAGACAGCUUCGAAAGCCCACCUGGCAAAAAAUCCACACUGGGGGCGAGAGAUAAACCGGCACAUUCCCCAGACUGACCCAUUAGGCUUCUUUCAUAACUUACUGGCAAUGAGCUGAGGAAGCUGUGAGUCUGGGAGUUAUUGAUUUUCUCUCAUCAUCAAAAUUCCUGCUUUUGGUGAGGGAACCAAUGCCAAGUAAGCACAGAACCUGUCUUCUCUCUGGACCAGAGCAGCUCAUGCCCCUUCAGGUCUCUUUGCUCACAUCUCCAGAUCUUUGGCUUCAAGCAAGAUCUCUCUCCUGAGCUUCAGGUUCCGCAUCUUCAGCUGCUUGAUCUCCAGUUUAGUCACUGAAUUGUGAGGUCCUCAAAGAUGAGAACCAUGCCUCAUUCACUUCCCUCAAGGCUUGCACUGCAGGAAGCAUUUUAUACAUUUUUUAACAUCAUGUAUGAAUAAGUGAGUG
rnacentral:lncRNA from 1 species